rnacentral:tRNA from 1 species
UUCUUGGCAGGCCAGUGGUUAAGACUCCUGCUUUCAAUGCAGGGGGUUCAGGUUUGAUUCCUGGUCAGGGAA